rnacentral:rRNA from 1 species
UACAGAGACUGCAAGCGUUAUUCGGAUUCACUGGGCGUAAAGGGUGCGUAGGCGGCCAACUAAGUCAGACGUGAAAUCCCUCGGCUUAACCGGGGAACUGCGUCUGAUACUGGAUGGCUUGAGUUUGGGAGAGGGAUGCGGAAUUCCAGGUGUAGCGGUGAAAUGCGUAGAUAUCUGGAGGAACACCGGUGGCGAAGGCGGCAUCCUGGACCAACACUGACGCUGAGGAGCGAAAGCCAGGGGAGCAAACGGG